AAGCGUAACAAGGUUUCCGUAGGUGAACCUGCGGAAGGAUCAUUACAGAGUUCAUGCCCGAAAGGGGUAGACCUCCCACCCUUGUGUAUUAUUACUUUGUUGCUUUGGCGAGCUGCUCUUCGGGGCCUUGUAUGCUCGCCAGAGAAUAUCAAAACUCUUUUUAUUAAUGUCGUCUGAGUACUAUAUAAUAGUUAAAACUUUCAACAACGGAUCUCUUGGUUCUGGCAUCGAUGAAGAACGCAGCGAAAUGCGAUAAGUAAUGUGAAUUGCAGAAUUCAGUGAAUCAUCGAAUCUUUGAACGCACAUUGCGCCCCUUGGUAUUCCGGGGGGCAUGCCUGUUCGAGCGUCAUUUCAACCCUCAAGCUCAGCUUGGUAUUGAGUCCAUGUCAGUAAUGGCAGGCUCUAAAAUCAGUGGCGGCGCCGCUGGGUCCUGAACGUAGUAAUAUCUCUCGUUACAGGUUCUCGGUGUGCUUCUGCCAAAACCCAAAUUUUCUAUGGUUGACCUCGGAUCAGGUAGGGAUACCCGCUGAACUUAAGCAUAUMA
rnacentral:rRNA from 1 species